CUACGCCGCCCCCGCUGCGUACGCCGCCCCCGUCGCGCACGGUGUGUACGCCGCCCAGGCUGUGGCCCCGGUGGCUUACGCCGCCCCCCACGUCAAGACCGCCUCCGUGGGCUACGCCGCCGUGCCCACGGUCCACCACGUGCCCGCCGUCCAGGACGUGCCCUACACCCGUCUGGAGGCCACCGCCGGCGUCGUGCAGAAGCUGGUCGACGUCGCCAAGCCCGCCGUCGCCACCCGCCGCUUCCAGAUUCGUCGCCCUGCUAUCCAGAAGCAGUUCUACGACAUCGAGGAGCGCGUGGUGGUCCGUCCCGCUGGCUCCGCCCUGGUGGAGCUCGACCAGCCCCUGUCCAAGACCCAGAAGGGCGAGACCGUCGUCUCCGCCGCCGCCCCCGUCCUCGCCCACGCCAAGGUGCUGGCCCCCGCCGUCGCCGCCUACCCCGCCUACCCCGCGUACCACGGCUACCCCACCCUGGCCGCCGCCCCCAUCGUCGCCGCCCCCGUCCAGCAGUACCCCGUGCAGCAGUACCCCGGCCAGGAGGCCCAGGCCGAGCCCCAGCAGCCCGAGCAGGCUGA